GGGUUUGAUUAUGGCUCAGAAUGAACGUUGGCGGCGUGGAUUAGGCAUGCAAGUCGAGCGAGAAGUUUACUUCGGUAAAUGGACAGCGGCGAAAGGGACAGUAAUGUGUAGGUACCUACCCCCCGAUCUGGGAUAGCUGCGGGAAACUGCAGGUAAUACCGGAUAAUGUCUUCGGACCAAAGGUGUGAUUCCGUCAGGGGAGGGGCCUGCAUCCUAUUAGCUUGUUGGUGAGGUAAUGGCUCACCAAGGCAACGAUGGGUAGCGGGUGUGAGAGCAUGACCCGCGUCAUUGGGACUGAGACACUGCCCAGACAUCUACGGAUGGCUGCAGUCGAGAAUCUUCGGCAAUGGGCGAAAGCCUGACCGAGCGACGCCGCGUGCGGGAUGAAGGCCCUCGGGUUGUAAACCGCUGUCGUUGGGGAGGAAAUGCAAAAGGGUUAUCCCUUCUGUUUGACCGAUCCAAGGAGGAAGUACGGGCUAAGUUCGUGC
rnacentral:rRNA from 1 species